AGAGUUUGAUCAUGGCUCAGAACGUACGCUGGCGGCACGCCUAACACAUGCAAGUCGAACGAAGUAGCAAUACUUAGUGGCAGACGGGUGAGUAACAUGUGGGUAUCUGCCCUUUGGCCUGGAAUAACACGAGGAAACUUGUGCUAAUACCGGAUAAGUCUUUACGGAGAAAGCUUUAUGCACCAAUGGAUGAGCCCGCACUUGAUUAGUUUGUUGGUGGGGUAAUGGCCUACCAAGACUUUGAUCAAUAGCUGAUUUGAGAGGAUGAUCAGCCACAUUGGGACUGAGACACGGCCCAAACUCCUACGGGAGGCAGCAGUGGGGAAUCUUGCACAAUGGAGGAAACUCUGAUGCAGCGAUGCCGCGUGAGUGAAGAAGGCCCUUGGGUUGUAAAGCUCUUUCGUCGGGGAAGAAAAUGACUGUACCCGAAUAAGAAGGUCCGGCUAACUUCGUGCCAGCAGCCGCGGUAAUACGAAGGGACCUAGCGUAGUUCGGAAUUACUGGGCUUAAAGAGUUCGUAGGUGGUUGAAAAAGUUGGUGGUGAAAUCCCAGAGCUUAACUCUGGAACUGCCAUCAAAACUUUUCAGCUAGAGUUUGAUAGAGGAAAGCAGAAUUUCUAGUGUAGAGGUGAAAUUCGUAGAUAUUAGAAAGAAUACCAAUUGCGAAGGCAGCUUUCUGGAUCAUUACUGACACUGAGGAACGAAAGCAUGGGUAGCGAAGAGGAUUAGAUACCCUCGUAGUCCAUGCUGUAAACGAUGUGUGUUAGACGUUGGAAAUUUAUUUUCAGUGUCGCAGCGAAAGCGAUAAACACACCGCCUGGGGAGUACGACCGCAAGGUUAAAACUCAAAUGAAUUGACGGGGACCCGCACAAGUAGUGGAGCAUGUGGUUUAAUUCGAAGAUACGCGCAGAACCUUACCAACACUUGACAUGUUCGUCGCGACUUUAAGAGAUUAAAGUUUUCGGUUCGGCCGGACGAAACACAGGUGCUGCAUGGCUGUCGUCAGCUCGUGUCGUGAGAUGUUGGGUUAAGUCCCGCAACGAGCGCAACCCUCACUUUUAGUUGCCAUCAUUAAGUUGGGCACUCUGAAAGAACUGCCAGUGAUAAGCUGGAGGAAGGUGGGGAUGACGUCAAGUCCUCAUGGCCCUUACGUGUUGGGCUACACACGUGCUACAAUGGUAUUUACAACAGGAAGCGAAACAGCGAUGUUAAGCAAAUCCUUAAAAGAUACCUCAGUUCGGAUUGCACUCUGCAACUCGAGUGCAUGAAGCUGGAAUUACUAGUAAUCGUGGAUCAGCGUGCCACGGUGAAUGCGUUCCCGGGUCUUGUACACACCGCCCGUCACACCAUGGGAGUUGGUUCUACCUUAAGGCAAGGUUUAAUACCCUUGACCACGGUAUAGUCAGCGACUGGGGUGAAGUCGUAACAAGGUAACCGUA
rnacentral:rRNA from 1 species